UUUUUUUCUCUUCCCUAAGAGGAAGCACUCAGCCACCCACCUCAUGGGACAACUGUGAGGAUGACUGAAAUAAUUAAUCAUGAAGAGCUUUGUGCUCCUGGGAGUGAGAGCACUUUGUGAGUGCAAAGCCCAUUUAUUGUCAUUAGUAGCAGGACUGAUAUUUUCCUUGGGAUUUCAUUAAGAAGAUUGAAUAUACAGAGCACAUUCAUCCUGUGUCAACCAAUCUUGGAACAGUGAUUGCCAUCAAGAUGAUAAUUACAACAUCUUCAUUCCUAUGGUGAUCUUUUCCUACAGGCACUCUCUAUAGCCUUGGACACCUUGGUUGCCACCUUGACCUUCGAAUAUGCCACCUUCAGGAGAAGGAUGAGCACUGUUUUCACAAUCUUCAUCAUGUCUUAGAAAAGUAUUGGAAGAAUCUGCCAACUUAAUCUCCCUAGGUAGGAUCGCAACUUGAUGCACAUGCAAUCUUCAGGCUGGCUAUACAAUAAAACCUGGACUACUCCUGACGAUCCACAUCUUCCUGAAUUUCGUCCUGACCAAGAGUGUCCUGAAAAUGGUGCCAAAAUGAAUUAAAGAGCGUUCCUAGUAGUCUUAGUUUCUUCAUCUAAAUAUAAAAUUAAACUAGAUAAAUUAGGAUUUUUCAUACUCUACUUCAGACACUUUUAUUUCACUCUUCCCAAUCUCAAGGAAGAUUUUAAAAAGUGUCACAGUAAGUGCCAUCCAUUCUUACUAUUGUUGCUCCUGGAGAUGGUCUCUGCCUCAAGAAACUUCAAAUCCAGUUGGAGAUCCAAGGAUACUACUAUGUGAACUCAAUAGAAGCCUAUUUCUGACUGUCCUAAAAUGAACCCCACAGACAAUUACUACUAGAAUGGCCAUUCUCGUUGGUGAAAACUGGUGCUCUCAGGGUGGAAGAAAUGGUGGCUGGCUCCCUGACUAGGCUGUAGGCUCCUGAGGGGAGAGACCAUGUCUGUCUGUUCACAACUGCACACCCAGCCUGGCACAGAAGGGUGCUCUCAGCUUCUUGCCAAGCCCUCCUCCUUCAACCGACUUGUUUUCUCCUGAUGUACUUAAGGAUGUGUCAGCACCCUUCUCUGGAGAUAAACCCCUAGAGACAGCCUUCCAUACUGGCAACUCACUAACUCUUCCUUUCUUUUCAAGCCACCUCAAGGUCCCCCAGAACAUCAACUGCCAGAAAUUUUCCCAAGGAUCUUCAAUCAAUGAUGAAAAUCUUAAUACAAUUUUCAGGGUGUUUACAAUAAUAAACUUGACACUAAAGGGGGUGGAUUAGGGAAGGAAUGUGCAUAUUUUUUUAAAUGCAAGUUUGAAUAUCUAAAGGGUACAUUUUACUCUCAAGGUGUCCAAGAUUUUGGGUGCCUGGAUGGCUCAGUGAGUUAAGUAUCUGCCUUUGGCUCAGCUCAUGAUCCCAGGGUCCCGGAUGGAGCAUGAUGUUGGGCUCUCUGCUCAGCAGGCAGUCUGCCUCUCC